GGAUGUCACAGGCUGCAGGGUGAGAAGCUCUGUGCCUUGUCAUCCGUUUCUUCCAUACCCGGUUUUGCCCUUUCUCUGCUGCUGCCACUGGAGUACAGAGAGACCCAGAGCAGUGAUGCCAUUCUGCUGCUGGCCCUGCCUGCUCUGACCUUUUCCAACCUCAGAGAAAGUUUUGGCCCUAACUCCUUUGCCAGGAGUCAUCCCUACAAAUCAAGAUGUUCCCCCUCCAGGUGCUUGGAGCCCCAUCCAGCUUGACCUUGAAAGUGAAGUACUGACCAAGUAGUGACCAAAUACUUCCUAAGCACUGGGAGGCUGGCUGUAAGGGAAGAGGGGGACGGGAAAGCACAAGAAGUAACCCAAAAUUCCCCUCCGAGCACCAUCCUGGCCAUACGCAAGGACUUGCACAGCUGUUCCCAAGUGUGGUAUCGGAGCAACGCACGUAAGGAGCGCUUCUGCAGGACCACACAAGUUUGCUGCUAUUCUUAAGCCGAGCCUCACAACUGGGAAACUCCUGCCAAGUUGCUUGAGACAGUGGCACCUGGGAAGUAUUAUAUGAGUCUGUAUUGCAUCAUGAGAACCCUAUUUGCACUUAAUUACACAACUCCCUCCCUCCUCCCAGUAGAACAAGCGGGACAGAUGCUACAUCUACAAAGUGAGAAUCAAACACAUUUUUUAAGUGGAAUCUG
rnacentral:lncRNA from 1 species